rnacentral:rRNA from 1 species
ACCAGACUCCUACGGGAGGCAGCAGUGGGGGAUAUUGCACAAUGGGGGAAACCCUGAUGCAGCGACGCCGCGUGAGUGAAGAAGUAUUUCGGUAUGUAAAGCUCUAUCAGCAGGGAAGAAAAAAGACGGUACCUGACUAAGAAGCCCCGGCUAACUACGUGCCAGCAGCCGCGGUAAUACGUAGGGGGCAAGCGUUAUCCGGAUUUACUGGGUGUAAAGGGAGCGUAGACGGCAAUACAAGUCGGAAGUGAAAUACCCGGGCUCAACCUUGGAACUGCUUUGGAAACUGUAUGGCUUGAGUGCUGGAGAGGUAAGCGGAAUUCCUAGUGUAGCGGUGAAAUGCGUAGAUAUUAGGAGGAACCCCAGUGGCGAAGGCGGCUUACUGGACAGUAACUGACGUUGAGGCUCGAAAGCGUGGGGAGCAAACAGGAUUAGAUACCCCAGUAA